AUUGAACGCUAGCGGGAUGCUUUACACAUGCAAGUCGAACGAGUGGCGGACGGGUGAGUAAUAUAUCGGAACGUGCCCAGUAACGGGGGAUAACUACUCGAAAGAGAGGCCAAUACCGCAUACUAUUGGAGCCGCCGAUAUCGGAUUAGCUAGUUGGGGGGGUAAAGGCUCACCAAGGCAACGAUCCGUAGCUGGUUUGAGAGGACGACCAGCCACACGGGGACUGCGACACGGCCCAGACUCCUACGGUGGGCAGCAGGGGGGAAUUUUGGACAAUGGGGGAAACCCUGAUCCAGCCAUCCCGCGUGUAUGAGAAGGCCUUCGGUUUGUAAAGUACUUUUGGCAGGGAAGCGGUAUCUGAAGAAUAAGCACCGGCUAACUACGUGCCAGCAGCCGCGGUAAUUC
rnacentral:rRNA from 1 species